GGACCCGGCUCGCGCGGGUCCACUAGGCGGGAGGCGGCGCGGCGCGGCCCGGCUUAGCUGCGCCUCCUCCCUGCCGCCCACCCGGCGAAGACGCGAGAAGACACAUCAACUAUUAUUUGAUGGGCAUUUACAACGUCCUUUGGCUACUAUAAAGCUGCUACCCACCAGCAAAACUACAUCAGUUGUUAAAAUAUUAAACAACUUCUAUACCAAUCAGCAAAUAGCCAUCACCUUCCAAAUGGCCUUACCUUGGCUCACGCAGACAUUUCAGCCUCUCCCAAACACCAUUCGCUUGCUCAUUUUCCAACCAUUAAAGAGUUAAUGUCCAACAUACCAACAGGCCUUUAGAGUCUUCCCCUUGCUCAGAGCCCUGGCCAUUGUCAGUUCUGACUGGUUAGUAGCUAUUAUGUAGAUAUUGUUAAACCUUUU
ensembl:lncRNA